rnacentral:rRNA from 1 species
CAGCAGCCGCGGGAAUACGUAGGUGGCAAGCGUUGCCCGGAAUUGUUGGGCGUAAAGCGCGCGCAGGUGGUUUAAUAAGUCUGAUGUGAAAGCCCACGGCUCAACCGUGGAGGGUCAUUGGAAACUGUUAAACUUGAGUGCAGGAGAGAAAAGUGGAAUUCCUAGUGUAGCGGUGAAAUGCGCAGAGAUUAGGAGGAACACCAGUGGCGAAGGCGGCUUUUUGGCCUGUAACUGGCACUGAGGCGCGAAAGCGUGGGGAGCAAACAGGAUUAGAUACCCCAGUAGUCCCUGUCUCUUAUAC